rnacentral:rRNA from 1 species
UACGUAGGGACCAAGCGUUGUUCGGAUUUACUGGGCGUAAAGGGCGCGUAGGCGGCGCGGUAAGUCACUUGUGAAAUCUCUGAGCUUAACUCAGAACGGCCAAGUGAUACUGCAGUGCUAGAGUGUGGAAGGGGCAAUCGGAAUUCUUGGUGUAGCGGUGAAAUGCGUAGAUAUCAAGAGGAACACCUGAGGUGAAGACGGGUUGCUGGGCCAGCACUGACGCUGAGGCGCGAAAGCCAGGGGAGCAAACGGG